rnacentral:tRNA from 1 species
AGAAAUUUAGGUUAAAUAGACCAAGAGCCUUCAAAGCCCUAAGAAAGUUAAACGAUACUUAAUUUCUG